GGAGGAGCCGCUGUCCCCACAGCCGCCCCACCCGCGCCGCUGCCUCGCUGGGGCCCGGGCCCCCUUCCUGUUACUCCCCUGCUGGUGCCUCCCUCCUUGGCGCGGUUUCUGCCUGCGAUCAGCGCCCUCUUCGCAGUCACGAACUCGCCAGCAGCUAGCAGCACUUACUAGUAGGAGGGCCCACCGGAGGAGAGGAAACCCCAGAGAGAUUGGUGAUGGUGAUUUCCCAGGAAGACGUGGUGUGCUCCAACUUCUGUGACAGUGAGCAACGGGACCAAUGGAUGUCCGGAUGCUGGCAAUGAGACAUGCUCUGGAGUCAGAAGACAGCAAAAAGAGAAGCAGAAGUCCCGGUGGCAAGAGUCCAAAGCAGGAAGGAAUCACUGUAACCUGUGGAUUGUACUGCAGUAGGAAACUAUCCUAGCAAGGCUCCACUUUGCCCCAGCUUCAAGCUGGAAAGGAGGAGAACAUGAAACGUUGCUUGAAGACAAUGGCCGAGACAGCAGGUCCCACCCUGCACAGCCGCCAACAUCUCUUCCCUCAGCCUUGUCUCUUCUUCUGCAGUUGGGAUCUGCACAUUUAAGCCUGAAGUGUUGUGGGAUGUACCUUGCACUGAGGCCAGGCAGCUGACCAGAGCCACCCACAAGGAGCCUCUGGAAUUAACCUCAGAUUGUCCUGUGAAGUGAAGUAUGAUCGGACAGCCUCUUUUCAGCUUUUAUGAAAAUGGAGACAGAGGAAUUGUGGCUCUUGCCAAGGUCACAGGAUUGGAACACAGAGCCAAGCCACCCCAGGACAUGCAAGAGCCUCAGAAGGGAAAAAGCCCAGCAGGAAGGGAGAACAAGUAGCCUCUGUUCUGAGGUUGUAACAGCCAGGGACCAGGAUGGAGGAGGAGGACUCCGUAAUCCUGCCCAUCUGGGACUUGGCAGGGGACCUGGGAAAAUGUACCCCAAUCCAUCCCUCAAGGGCCUUUGCCUUUGGCCCAUUGGCCUAGCAUCUCCUUCUUCACUAUGUCUGUUCUUGUCAGAUCUGUUUGGGUCUGAGGUGCAUGGAACAUUCUGGGUAGGCCUCCAGCAAACGGAAGCUCUUCACCGUGUUUCCAGCCUAGGACCAAGAGCAGCACACUGGCAAAGUUGCCAAAGCAAGGGACUCCAGCCUGCUAGGAGUUAACGACUCCCUCUCCCCAGCUGUCCUCCCCUUGGUGCUCCUCUUCCUCCCUCCUCCUGCUCACAGCAGGCAGGGCCUGGACCCGGGAGCCAUGCUGCUGUGCUGUUGCCAGGGGAGUCCGGAGGCAGAUCUGAGCUAUGCAGGGAAAAGGCCCGGCCUGUCAAAGUGUCUGAGAUGAACCGCCGCCGUCCCUGUGCAGCUGGGCUCAGACGUGUCUCAGCUCUUGUUCUGUGCCUGAGAAUGGCGAAACCCAGUGAGGUUCAAGGGCAAACUCGCUAUUCAUUAGUCAGGGGUUCUUGACGUCCCGUCUCUCCCAGGGAUGGGUUCCCCCCCUUCCUCUUUCUCCCCCUCCUAUGACACAUUCCUGGGUGCCUUUGGUGAGGACUGCACACCCUCCUCCUGCCUAGCCCCCUUUCCAAGGGCCUCUGAAUAAACUCCCCCCAAGGAGACCAGGCAGGGUAGAGACAAUGGCUGCAGGAAAUCAUUCAGGCGGGACAUGCUGGCCUGCCCUCCACCCAGUCCCCCUGUGGGCCCCACUCCCUUCUGAUUCAGGGCACCCUUGGGCCCCUAGCCUAUACAGGCCUGGAUAGGAAGAAGCCACUAGGAACAACCCUGAGGACAUCAUGUUAGUCCAGUGCCAUUCUCCGCUGGCUCUGUGGGUGCCUUUGUGGCCUGCACCAACUGGCAGGCUAAUUUUGUGGUUUCUGUACCAUCACAUGCCUAUUUCAAGACACUCUCAAGCACUGUCAGUUGGGGAGUGUAAAUUCUACAAUAUUUUCUGAAAUGUGGCAAUAUCAAAAUGUAAAAGGCAAAUAUACUUGGUCAC
rnacentral:lncRNA from 1 species